GUGCCAGCCGCCGCGGUAAUACGUAGGUGGCAAGCGUUGUCCGGAAUUAUUGGGCGUAAAGCGCGCGCAGGCGGUCCUUUAAGUCUGAUGUGAAAGCCCACGGCUCAACCGUGGAGGGUCAUUGGAAACUGGGGGACUUGAGUGCAGAAGAGGAGAGUGGAAUUCCAGGUGUAGUGGUGAAAUACGUAGAUAUCUGGAGGAACACCNNUGGNGAAGGNGGNGACUGGNCCUAUACUGACACUCAUACACGAAAGCGUGGGGACCAAACAG
rnacentral:rRNA from 1 species